GUCUACAGCCAUGCCACCCUGAACAAGCCCGAUCUCGUCUGAUCUCGGAAGCUAAGCAGGGUUGGGCCUGGUUAGUACGUGGAUGGGAGACCACCUAGGAAGACCAGGUGCUGAAGGUU
rnacentral:rRNA from 1 species